UAGUGAAGUUAAACCAGUCACUACAUUCAUACAUGCUUCAGACUAUUAAACACUCCAGAUCAACACAUACAUAUUGUGUUUGUUCUCUACACAGGCUACAGUGCUGUAAACUCACUGUUCGGUCCUGUGAGAGUUUGUCUUCAGCUCUACAAUCCUCAAACUGUGUCCUGAGAGAGCUGGACCUGAGUAACAAUGACCUGCAGGAUUCAGGAGUGAAGCUUCUCUCUGAUGGACUGAAGAGUCAACACUGUAAACUGGAGACACUGAGAUUGGUCAUGUGUAAUCUCACUGUUCAGUACUGUGAGAGUUUGUCUUCAGUUCUUCAAUCCUCAAACUGUGUCCUAAGAGAGCUGGACCUGAGUAACAAUGACCUGCAGGAUUCAGGAGUGAAGCUUCUCUCUGAUGGACUGAAGAGUCAACACUGUAAACUGGAGACACUGUGAUUGUCUGGCUGUAUGGUGACAGAGGAAGGCUGUGGUUUUCUGUCUUCAGCUCUGACUUCAAACCCCUCACACCUGAGAGAGCUGGAUCUGAGCUACAAUCAUCCAGGAGAUUCAGGAGUCAAGCUGCUCUCUGAACAACUGGAGGAUCCAAACUACACACUGGACAAACUCAAUCUGGAUCAUGGAGGAGACGCGAGGAUUACAGCAGGACUGCACAAAUGUAGGACUACACAUACACA